rnacentral:rRNA from 2 species
UUAAGCAUAUCAAUAAGCGGAGGAAAAGAAACCAACCGGGAUUACCUCAGUAACGGCGAGUGAAGCGGUAACAGCUCAAAUUUGAAAUCUGGCUCCUUCGGAGUCCGAGUUGUAAUUUGUAGAAGAUGCUUUGGGUUGUGGGCUCGGCCUAAGUUCCUUGGAACAGGACGUCAUAGAGGGUGAGAAUCCCGUAUGUGGCCAUGGCCCGCGCCUAUGUAAAGCUCUUUCGACGAGUCGAGUUGUUUGGGAAUGCAGCUCAAAAUGGGUGGUAAAUUUCAUCUAAAGCUAAAUAUGGGCCAGAGACCGAUAGCGCACAAGUAGAGUGAUCGAAAGAUGAAAAGCACUUUGGAAAGAGAGUUAAACAGUACGUGAAAUUGUUGAAAGGGAAGCGCUUGCAACCAGACUUGGGCGCUGCCGAUCACCCCGAGUUCUCUCGGGUGCACUCGACAGCGCACAGGCCAGCAUCGGUUCGGGUGGCUGGAUAAAGGCCGUAGGAAUGUAGCUCUCUUCGGGGAGUGUUAUAGCCCACGGUGCCAUGCAGCCCAGCCGGACCGAGGACCGCGCCUUCGGGCUAGGAUGCUGGCGUAAUGGUUGUAAGCGACCCGUCUUGAAA